AACACGGACCAAGGAGUGCAAGAGAUGCGCAAGUCGGAAGGGUUGUGUCAGGACCUCGGUCCUGCCUGAGAGACCCAUGUGUUUGGAACGGGCGAAGUGAGAGCAAUUUCGUGGGUGCGAGAGCCCUGGGGAGACCCGGGGCGCAUCGCUGGCCGAGCCGUAUGGUCACGCUGUGGCCGGUUUCGAGUGCGAGCGUGUCUGUUGCGACCCGAAAGAUGGUGAACUAUGCCUGAGGAGGGUGAAGCCAGAGGAAACUCUGGUGGAGGCCCGUAGCGGUUCUGACGUGCAAAUCGAUCGUCGCACUUGGGUAUAGGGGCGAAAGACUAAUCGAACCAUCUAGUAGCUGGUUCCCUCCGAAGUUUCCCUCAGGAUAGCUGGAGUUUUUUAGCAGUUUCGUCGGGUAAAGCGAAUGAUUAGAGGUAUCGGGGUUGAAAGGGCCUCGCCCUAUUCUCAAACUUUAAAUCGGCGAGAAGGGUUGUCUUGCCUGCCGGAAGGCAUCCCUUGAAUGCAGGGGCUCCAAGUGGGCCGUUUUUGGUAAGCAGAACCGGCGAUGCGGGAUGAACCGAACGUUGGGCUAUGGCGCCGGAGUCGACGCUAAGCAGAUACCAGGAAAGGUGUUGGUUGAUCUAGACAGCAGGACGGUGGCCAUGGAAGUCGGAAUCCGCUAAGGAGUGUGUAACAACU
rnacentral:rRNA from 1 species